GCAAACUUAUUUCUUAUUCUCUUUUCUUGUUCUGCAAUUUGUUACCCAGCUUACUCUGCUGUCUCAGUACUGCCCCUCAUUUUUAUAAGAAGGUCAAGUCUCACAUUGGGGAUGCCUCAUUUACAGAACUUCCCUUUAAUGAAAACCUCUAUGUAAUGAAAAGAUUCUUGUGUUCCAAAAGUUUCGUUAUUUGGAGGUUCCACUGUAGUGGGUUUCUUUCGUUCGGCCAAACUUUCGUUUCCUGGGGGGAAAUCCAACUUCGUGGGUUUUAUUUUUGUCCUUCUGAUCUGCAAGAGUUAAGCCACACCCAACAACCCCACCCAUAACACCCACGUGUGCAUGUGUUAGUGCUAAUGAACUCCGGAUCGAGCUCUCCCACAGCAAAUUUCGUGGGUUUAAUUUUCAUUUUUGGAGCUUGGAGAACGAAAAGAACGAAAGUUUGACCGAACGGAAGAAACCCGCUAUACGUGGAACCUGUGCUAACGGUCACCUGAGUAGUGAGGCCACCUCUCUAUUACGGCCAUAAGCCAAAAUCCCGAUCAAGGCCUGUACAAAAGGAUCAGCUAUUGACUUGUCUAAUGCGUCCCUGUGUAAUGCGUAAAGCGGCCGCUCGUCAAAGUCCCCUUUGGUUGCACAGAACCUUGCUACUCUGGCCAACCGGAAACCACACCCAUCAUUAAUCAUUUCUAACACUAAUAAUAAUAAUAACUAGAAACAAUGUAAAACAUUAAAGGGCUCAGCCUCGUAGAUUAUUAGCUGGAAAAA